CACUCUGGUGGCCUAGUGGUUUUAGCAUCUGCCUCGGAUGUGGGAGGUUGUGGGUUUGAUCCCUGUCAGAGUCA